CGCUGCUAAGGUGGAGAAAAAUAAAUUUGCUCAGUUUUUUAAAAUAUGAUGACUACAUGGGAACAAGUUAUUGUGGAACAGCAACUAAGCUUGAGAAGAAAACGGUUCGAUGUCAUGGAGUUCCAUUAGUAAGAAUCGUUUUUGUGCUACCUUAAUUUCUACAAGAUCGCUACUUAAAUCUGGACUGGCGCAGAGAGAAAAAAUAAAACAAUGUUCGCGGUUAUUUCCGUCAUUGCCAGCUUGUCCUCCGGUUUAUGGUUAACAUGAGCACUUCCAAAAGCUCUGUAAUUUUAUCCCAUCAAGCAUCUGUACGGUCUCUUCAAGAAUCACUUUCAUAUGUGCCGGUGAAAAGAAUAACUUUGCUGUUCCGCUGAUCGCCUAGGUUUUACUACAGUGCAUCCGUUUAGAAGGUGCGGUAAUUCGAGAGAUUUGAACGCGACACAAAAUCGGUUUGACCACACGAUGAAAAGUCAGCUAUAUCCGACCAGAGAAAUUCGACUUGGAACAGUUAUCUAACUGGAAGAAACAAUUCUCGCUGAAGAAACAAUAUGGCUGAUUUCCGGUUCCAGUAUUGGAUAAUCCCACCACCGCCGGCCAUUGGUAAUGAUCCAAGGCAUCCUCUCCAAUCACAGACCAUCGACGAUAUUAUUAACUACGCAUCAGGGUUGGCUAGCAUGGCUAGUCGCUGAAAUUCACUGCUUGGAUUCAAACAUGGGAAGUAAAGCCUCACACAAUUAACUUCCCGAUGGAACCGGGAUUGUUAUCGGGCGCUGGAGUCUCGCUGGAUGAACCAAAGAAUUGGGGAUGUUACGCGAUGCACAGCUCUAUCUGACCUGUACGUCAAAAUAUUAGUACUCUCAGAAUAGCCUUACCCGCGACGGAGAUUCGACUCAGAUACUGGUCAAUUAAUAUCAUCUUGUUUGUCUACGCUUCGAUGAUGAGUCGACUAGCCCUUACAACGCUGAUUAAAACCUAUAGUAUGCAGGGAUGAAUUUUAGACCAGAAAAUCAGGAAUAACACGAAUCAGAAAGUCGGUUGCCACACUUGGAAAGUGUGCGAGUCCUUGCGUUCGGUAUCGGUUCGUUGGUUAGUUCGGGACUCAAGCUCGGUCAAUACUGAGCAUUACCAGGAUGUUCAAAUAUGUCCGGAAUGCAGACAUUCGCUGUCAGAAUAAUACUGUCGAUAGUUUAGGUGCAGUUCUUCUUCUGAAUACCUCCGAGUUCGGCAUGACCUGGCAUAAGGUUUUUAAACCCUUUUGUCUGAUGCAUAUAUAAUAUGCAUUUGUCUGAUGCAUAUAUAAUAAUGCGAAUGAUUGAACUCCUCAUGAAGGUACAAAACGCUAAGUUAAUCACGUAGCGUGGCGAUGAUAAGCGUUCAAAAAAUCAUCAAUAUGGCGAACAGUACUUUAGCGACGCACGUCUACCUUUACUACAAAAGCAGAUUCGAGGGAAGAAGAUUUAUUAUUCCUUACGGAGCGAGCUUAUCAAAAUCGCAGUCUAUGAGGAAUGUUCACGCUAUAGAUCGAGACAUCGAGUGUCGGAGCACGAACACGAUUAAAUCUCUGGAGAGGACGCUUUGCUUUUCAUGUUACUCUGCACUAUCGAAUACAUUUAUCGAUGCCGUUAUGCUCCCGAACACCUUACCAGAAAUUCUUCUUAGUGUCAUUGUGUCUUGAUCUCAACCAGAAGCAAUUUCAAGACCACAGCUUUAAAAUUUUUAUUAUCAAACAAUUUUGAUAUAAUUUUCAUUUAAAAAAGACUUAACAUAAAGUCGUAAGUGGCCUACGACAUUUUUCUCUCCAAACCAUUCAUGUUAUAGGCUCGAUGCAUCACAAAGCUAACGUGUGUGUUUUAAGAUACGAAGGUUUGGUCGAGUACAUUAUUGUUCGGGGCAGCAAAAGCAAAUAAAUUCAUGGCUUUCCUGCAAGCCGCAAAGCAACAUAUUAUUCAUUCUCAAUGACGCAUGCAGUCAAAUGUAUUUUCAUACGCUAAGCUGCUCAUCUAUCAAUCGCAUCAACAUUGGGUCCAAUUUCCUAACGUUUUUGAUAAAUUGUGAUAUUUAUACUAAAGUUCGUCAUUAAAAGUAUUAGAUCAAUGGUCAUCUUCGGCUGUACGAUUUGAAGUCGCUUCCACGUGUACCUGCUCAAGUAUUAUUCCAGCUCUAGCACGUUUAGACUGCCUGAUAGCGAAUCAAGGAAAGUGAAGAGAAAGUUUUCGUCUAUUAGUUGGUUGAUAUGUAGAAUUAGGGGCCUUAAUUCCUUAAUCGUCUAACAGUUAUAACUGCUAAAAUAUAACAUCCUUUACAUAAGCUUACAUAUUCUUCUGUCCUGGAAUCUUUAGCUGGACUGCUGUUUUGCCUUGGAACGAAAUAACAUAUAUUCCCAUUGAGCUGGUGAUCUCGUCUUAUUGGACUUCUGUCCUAAGCUGGCAUAGUCUACCUGAAUCAAAAUUUAAUAUAUCCUAUUUUUGGAAAGGCCUCAAGCUGGCGAUCUUUGCCUGACCUGUACUCUUGUACUAAGCUUUCAGACUCCCCCUCCAAAAUAGCUAAACGUUUUUUCAAGGUAUGUUCGCCAGGUCUACACUCCAGUAGUUGGCGCACUUUGCUUAAUAGUAUAGCUCCCAUCAUAGGAAUAAUAAUAAUCUGCUUAACUUUGCCAAUACUGCACCUCAAUCUCAAUCUGGAAGACGUCGCCGUUAAUAAUACUGGCAUUUUCCCCUGGUUAUUGUUCGGACAGCUGCCAUACUCACCAGGGUUAGCCGGCUUACUCGCCUGGGUUAGCUGGCGUACUCGCCUGGGGAUGCUGGCGUAGUCGCCUGGGUCUAGCUGGCGUACUCGCCUGGGUCUAGCUGGCGUACUCGCCUAGGGAAGCUGGCGUACUCGCCUGGGGUGCUGGCGUACUCGCCUGGGUCUAGCUAGCGUACUCGCCUAGGAAAGCUGGCGUUCUCGCCUGGGGAAGCUGGCGUACUCGCCUGGGGAAGCUGGCGUACUCGCCUGGGGAAGCUGGCGUACUCGCCUGGGGAAGCUGGCGUACUCGCCUGGGUCUAGCUGGCGUACUCGCCUGGGUCUAGCUGGCGUACUCGCCUAGGGAAGCUGGCGUACUCGCCUGGGGAAGCUGGCGUACUCGCCUGGGGAAGCUGGCGUACUCGCCUGGGUCUAGCUGGCGUACUCGCCUGGGUCUAGCUGGCGUACUCGCCUAGGGAAGCUGGCGUACUCGCCUAAGGAAGCUGGCGUACUCGCCUGGGGAAGCUGGCGUACUCGCCUGGGUUAGCUGGCGUACUCGCCUUGAAAACUCAAUCUUACCUUAUUUUCAUUCAAUAUUACUUGAAAUUCACGCCAUAUGUGGUAACUGUAAUUGUCGAGCUGGCAUAUUAUGCCUGUAAAUUAGCUGGCAAUCUCUUUUGUUUUCGUUUUCUUUGCCUGACACUUCCAAAAAUAUUUUUCAUUCACUGGGAACGAACCAGCUUUCCCCCAUACAUUAAAUCUGAACUUGAUUGCUGCUAACAUUCAACGUCGCUUUUGUUCACUAAAAACUUCAGCAUUUGCUAACUUACCAUUGAGUCUUCCGUACCGCACAACCAGCAGUAAUACUUUAGCAGCUCGUUUUUUUUAAUUCAGAAAACAGGCAACUCACCUCCAUUUUGUUUUUUUUUCACAUCAACCAAGGAUUUCCUUUAACUACCAAAUUUGUUCAAUUUUCUUUAACUUUCAUAAAUGAAAGUGUCCUGUCACGGUCGCCAAUGUAAAAAUCCGGAUUCGCACUAAGCAGGAAAUCCUUGGUUGGCCACUACGUCUGUCGGAAACUGCUUGGACCUUUCACUUCCUGACUGUUGAGGCGUUCGCUUUCGCUUGAGGAAACUGCGCGCCGUUGACGGUUGACGCGGGAGAACUCAUAUGAAUGACUGCACGCUAGAAAUUAUUAAACCAUUUACGAAUCAAAAAUAACCAUUUUUGACCUUUUCCCGGGAAAUGCCAUUUUAUGAGUUCUCCAUGAGAAGCCAUAAAAUGACUUCUAGGGGAGAAGUUCGAAUAUGGUUAUUUUUUAACCGAAUGAGAUUCUCGAGGAGAAGUUGAAAUAUGGGUUUUUUUAAAUCAUAAUGCAAAAUGAGGGAAAAGAAAAAAUAAAAUUUUAACAAUUUUGUGUUUUUACAUCUUUUUAUUUAUUUUUAGAUGUUCUGCUUUCUUGAUGAUAAAUACAGGGGGAAAAUGCAACGAUUUUUGUUGUGUGGACCUAUCGGAACAGCAUCGAGCUACUUACUUUCACUUUCCCGAUGAAAGUUCCGAUCUUUUGGCUCUGAUGCUAGUGAUUCAUAAAAAUCAGAGAGCCGAUUUCGCUCGUCAGGAACAGAUGAGCAUUGUCCAGGAAAUAGCUGCAGCAAGGGAAAUAGCUCAUCUCGGUCGCCGGAACAACAAUGUGUAUAGCCAACUUCAAGACCUCCUCAGCUGCGGCUUCAAAGUUAACCUUGAAAAGUGUCUCUAGUGCAGAGAAUGUUUCUGGAGAACCAAAAUCGGCAUUUGGACAGGCUGAAAAAAUGAAAUUAUUACAUAAAUGAAAAACAAAAACGGUCCGUAAAAAAAGUUACCGGUUCCGUUUUCUGCCGCUUCGUGCUAAAUGCAACUGGGAGGCAGCUGUAGCACAGAAUCUUUGCUGACCGCAAUUCCACUCCGGUGGGUGGAGCUUUUUGGGCUGUAUACCAAUCUCAGCUCCAUCCUAAUAUUAUGGAGAAUGGUCGGGAUGGCCAGCUUUUGAAGCACUAUAGUUUGCUCGUUCCGGAAGUAAGAAGUCCCGCGUUCGGUGCUGUUGUUUCACUGGAACUGAAUCCGGACUGCAUGCCGCAGAGUCGUCCAAUUGGUGUACUGCAAUUUAGUUUUUUUGUUGAUUGGUUGAGUUUUUAAUUGGAUAUUCAUAAUGAUAAAACAAUUACCUUUAGAAUUUCUCCAGCCUUGUUUUAUUCGUACGGACAAAAUGAAAAACAAAACACGUUCGGUUCGCUCCACGGUAGCUUCCAAUAUGGCGAAGAAAAAACGUCAAGUUUUUCAACCAUUUUGUGGUUCAUACACGAGAUCUUGAUAAAUGGUUGAAUUUUAACAUAGAAAAAUUCUUAAAAAAUAACCAUAUUGAUAGUUUUAGAGCAAACACUAUAAAAUGGUUAUUCUAUAAACAUAAUUGGUUAAUUGAAAACGAGCGUGUGGUGAGAGCCGACACGCUUGAUCCAAGAUAGGCACUCGAAAGUUGAUAAUGACCUUCCCGGCGUAAUUAACACACUCAAUAAAUCCCUACCUUACACUUUUCAACAAGUACUUCUAGACAAAGGUCUAAACGUUUUUUGGCAAUAUCUGGAUAGUGUGCAAUCGCAUCGGGAUUGGAUGGGAUAAGUUAAGGGAGAUCGUAUAGCCAUUUUAUUCAAAAAUCGACAGUUAAACGAACUACAGCUAUUUCUGAAUACAAGGAUAUCCUUGUCGGAAACAUGACCAGUCUUUUUUGCUUUCUUAAUUGCCGAUUUAGUUGAGAAUCCAAGUUCUACGCUUCCAGGAGAUAGGAGAUUUAUUUUUGUGUUCUAUAAGUGUUUUUUUUUUAUUUUACGUUUAGUCGUUCAGGCUUGGCUUUACAACUUUCUUUAUCAAUGCUCUUACAAGCCCGGUUAAAUCAUCGAAGAGAAACGGAAUCAUACUCGCGUAAAAAGGACUCAACGGUCAGGGCGGCCGUAACAAAAAAAAAACUCAGUUUUGGUCCCAGCAAAUUAUCAUCUACAGCUUUAGCAACAAUGUCAAAUACCUUCGACCGGGAAAUCGAUGGAAAAAUUCCGCUUAAAAUUUGAAUGAUUUUUCUUCUUGACUUUUUCUCCUCGUCGACAAACCGUUUGAGGUACGGUAGCAUUUUGGCAGCACGUUCAGCAACGCGUUCAUUUUCCACCCAGCGAAUGUCACACAAUAUUAACGAAAAUAUAGUUGAACCCGUUACUGCAGUAUAAUGUGCCCUUCUAAGUGAAAUGUGUUUGAACAUCCUCAAAAAUUCAUCCUAAUUCCAUUCACUUUUCCUCAGUCCCUCCUUGAACGCUUUAUGUACAGUGUGAAGUUCACAGCUCCCAAUGGUGAGAAUCGUACGCCGGAUUCGAAACAAGUUCUUGAACCUCGCUAGUUACGGCGUGUUCGUAAAUUGAUUUUUUGGGUGAUGCAUCGAUUUGUUUGGUAGAUGUCAAAUCACCUUCCAAUGCAUUUGCAUACAGUUUGUUUAAUUUACGAACGUCAGCAUCGAUAGAAAAAAACACUUCGAUAGAAAAAAUCAAUUUACGAACACGCCGUUAGUUCCUUUAGAAUUUUCCAAUUUACUGCUGGACCAUCCAUGGAAUACUGGAUCACUCGUUUCAGUAGAUCAGGAUUUGUAGAAAAAACAUAGUUUCACGCCAUACAAAAGGUCAUUCGAGCGCGUCGACGAUAAGAAUGUAGAACCAAUAUACCUUGGUUCAACUAGGUUUGUGUUCCAGAAGCGCACACUAAUAUUGCGGUUACUGGGAAAAUUUCUAAUCGCGCGACGGUAGCCUUCCGUGCGGUAGGCUAGCCGGAGCAGUAAACACAGUUAAAAAAUUCACUCUUACUCACUAAUUUCAUUGAAAGGUUAAGAAGUAAAUUCUUGAAUCAAUCUUCAAAUCAUUAUUUUGCAAGAGAUGACAAAACAUGAAGUCAUCGGAAUGAAAUAUUAUUAUUCUUAGUAUUCAAUGAGAUUGAAGUAAUCACGAGCGUUAAAAUCCCAGACAAAACAAAAAACAAUCUACAUUAUUGAAAACACAUUUUCCAUAGCCUGAGAAUUAACGAAUUUGGCAUGACGAAGAUUUUUGAUGCGAUAAAUGCGUCUUUGAUACUUGAUAUGCUGGUCGAAUUCAAUUAUGUUGUCGUUAAAAUGUAACAAAUCGUAUAUGAGAAGUUAAAAAAAGGAGUUGUGUACGGUGAAUUAUAGGAAAUAACACCAUUCGCAUCGCAAAAAAUUGGACUGCGCACUCAUAACUACGAAAUUUGUGCGAGCUGUCAAAUCAGUAUAAAAUCUGACGGUUUUCUACACGCUAACCGCUUUUCAGUUAAACUUUAUCAGCAACUAUAAUCGAAACAAAAAAAAAAAAAAAAAAAAGUUAAACUUUAUACGGAUAACUCCGACUGCAAAACAUAGCACAAAAUCCAACAUUCAAUGAAUGAUCGCUACCGUGUCGUCGAACUCUAAACUUAUUUAAACAACUACAGGUUUUCAUUUUUUUUCGUGAAUUUGUCGCUGAAUGACCCCAUCGCAAACAGGUUUUUUUUAUUAUUCAUUUUUCCGUGAUUUUGACCGCUGAUUGACCAAGCUCAAGGCUAACACAAUUUUUUGUUUUAUAAACAAUAGAUAAUCCGAUAAUAAUAUUUGGUAUACAUGUUUGUUUGACAACUUUUUAUUAAAUCAUCUUUCAAUGUUUUCCGCUUGUUCAUCCGAUUUAAUUUCAGUCGAUAAAUGUAGAACAAUGCUCAUUUUUUUCUUGAAUAUUGUAAUUUUUUCUACAGUGGUACCCUACGGGAGCCCAAAUCAGCUAUCGCAGAAAUAGAAAAAAAGAGUGGAUCAGCAAUAUCCAUUUGUUGCUUCUGCACAAUCUUAUUUAUUGCGUAUUCAGAGAAAAAUUGGAUUCUCACAACGGUAGUUAGACCCGAAAUUUGACAACCGUAAUUUGACAGCUCUGCUGAUGGGUUGCAUUUUCGUCAGUGUAGCCGAGAAACACUAAAGCAAAUCAUCAUACAAUAUUGUCGCUGAAUCCCCAAACCGGAGUUAUCGUCAAUGAGCGCUGGCGACAUUUACUGGCGACACUCACUGGCGACAAGUUAUUAUCAGGACGUGUCCAACUUCGGGUGUGUUCUUAUACCAAAGAUUUUUUAUUUCAAAGGAAAGUGCCCCAAAAACAAGGAUUUUUUCCUUUGGUUUUGGUAUAAAUAAAAAAUCCUUUGGUUCAAAUGCAUUUUCCUCUGUUUCAAAGAUUUUUUCUUUUGAAAAAUCUUAGAUUCAAAAUAUUAAUGCUUUGAUACAAAAACCAGUUUCAUUUGAUUUAAAGUUAUUAUCUUUGCUCAAAGGUAAUUUAGAUAUAGAUUUAAAAGCAUUUAUUCAUUGAACCAUU